rnacentral:tRNA from 1 species
GGCCGGUUGGUCUAGCGGUAUGGUUCUCGCUUUGGAUGCGAGAGGUCCUGGGUUCCAAUCCCGGUUCGGCCU